UGAAGAUAGCUGAGCCCAAAGUAAGUUUUAAUUUUGCAGAAAGAAAACUGGCAGAGAAAAUUAAGGAUGAGAGGAGAUUGAAAAUGUAUCGGUAAAACCCAGACAACUUUAUAUCGUAGGAAAUGAAAUUCCAAUAACAGGAAGAAUUUAAAGGCUGAAAAAGUAGACUUAAGUAGUCUUGUCCCUGGAACAGUUUUUCUGCUAACAUUAAUGGAUCGGUUUGGUUUGGUUUAUCAUAUCUUCAACUUUGGAGGUCCA
rnacentral:lncRNA from 1 species